rnacentral:rRNA from 1 species
UUCAACGGCCGCGGUAUCCUAACCGUGCAAAGGUAGCGCAAUCAAUUGUCCCGUAAAUCGGGACUAGUAUGAAUGGCUAAACGAGGUCUUAACUGUCUCUUACAGGCAAUCGGUGAAAUUGAUCUCCCUGUGCAAAAGCAGGGAUAACCCCAUAAGACGAGAAGACCCUGUGGAACUUAAAAAUCAGCAACCAACCCUGAAAACAUACUCCCCCCCACCUCGGGCUCACUCACUAUCAGGGCUACUGGUCUGCAUUUUUCGGUUGGGGCGACCUUGGAGCAAAACAAAACCUCCAAAAAUUGGACCACACAUCCAGACUGAGAGCAACCCCUCAACGUGCGAACAGCACCCAGACCCAAUACAAUUGAUCAAUGGACCAAGCUACCCCAGGGAUAACAGCGCAAUCUCCUCCGAGAGUCCAUAUCGACGGGGAGGUUUACGACCUCGAUGUUGGAUCAGGACAUCCUAGUGGUGCAGCCGCUACUAA